rnacentral:misc_RNA from 1 species
UUUAACGAUUUAUAUCUAUACUCAGACGGCACAGUUAUCAGAAUUUAAGACGGCUACCGGCGGGCACGGGCCAGGGGCGGUAAAGCGCCCGGCGGCCCCAAAGGGCGGGCCCGCCAAAGCAACGUGGUUGGUUACACAAAGGGUUGGAGAUCGGGCCUGGAAGACCCUUACUCGGUAAUGAUCCUUCCGCAGGUUCACCUACGGAAA